GGGGAAAAUGUGGGUUGGAACCAGGGACAUUUAGAUCCUCAAUCUAAAGCUUUGGCAGCUGAGCUAUUUUGCC